rnacentral:rRNA from 1 species
UACAGAGGCCCCAAGCGUUACUGAGAAUCACUGGGUUUAAAGGGUGCGUAGGUGGUCCGUUAAGUUCGUUGUGAAAUCCCUGGGCUCAACCCAGGAAAUGCUUCGAAUACUGGCGGACUUGAGGCUAGUAGAGGUCACUGGAACUGACGGUGGAGCGGUGAAAUGCGUAGAUAUCGUCAGGAACGCCGAUGGUGGAAGACAGGUGACUGGGCUAGUUCUGACACUGAGGCACGAAAGCGUGGGGAGCGAACGGG